rnacentral:rRNA from 1 species
GACGUAGGGUGCAAGCGUUGUCCGGAUUUAUUGGGCGUAAAGAGCUCGUAGGCGGCUAGUCGCGUCGGCUGUGAAAACCUGGGGCUCAACCCCGGGCCUGCAGACGAUACGGGCUAGCUAGAAUUCGGUAGGGGAGACUGGAAUUCCUGGUGUAGCGGUGAAAUGCGCAGAUAUCAGGAGGAACACCGGUGGCGAAGGCGGGUCUCUGGGCCGAUAUUGACGCUGAGGAGCGAAAGCGUGGGGAGCGAACAGG